GUGCUCACUUCAGCAGCAUACAUACUAAUAUUGGAACUACACAGAGAAGAUUAGCACGGCCCCUGAGCAAAAAUAACAUGCAAAUUCGUGAAAUUGUCUAGAUAAAU
ensembl:snRNA U6 U6 spliceosomal RNA